UUCAUACAAUAAGUCCACCUACUUUUUUUGACCAAUGAAAAAGAAAAGGAUCCAAAGAGAAUCUCUCUCUCUCUCUCUCUCUCUCUCUCUCUCUCUACUGUGGAGUUGUGCGGCGUGAUUUCUUGGAAGAGCCUCACCGCUUUUCUGCAAUUUAUAAUGUAGUUAGCUUCCUUGGCGGGGGUUGUUCUGAUCUCUCUCUUUCACAGUUGGAUGGAGCUUUCUUGGGAUUCUGGUCGUCUUCAACCGGCGAUUCACCGACAUAGUUCCAAACUCACUGUC
rnacentral:lncRNA from 1 species